rnacentral:tRNA from 1 species
AGCAGUGUGGCUCAGUGGAAAGAGCAUGGGCUUGGGAGUCAGGGGUCAUGGGUUCAAAUCCUGGCGCUGCCG